AUGAACGCUGGCGGCGUGCCUAAUACAUGCAAGUCGAGCGAACGGACGAGAAGCUUGCUUCUCUGAUGUUAGCGGCGGACGGGUGAGUAACACGUGGAUAACCUACCUAUAAGACUGGGAUAACUUCGGGAAACCGGAGCUAAUACCGGAUAAUAUUUUGAACCGCAUGGUUCAAAAGUGAAAGACGGUCUUGCUGUCACUUAUAGAUGGAUCCGCGCUGCAUUAGCUAGUUGGUAAGGUAACGGCUUACCAAGGCAACGAUGCAUAGCCGACCUGAGAGGGUGAUCGGCCACACUCGAACUGAGACACGGUCCAGACUCCUACGGGAGGCAGCAGUAGGGAAUCUUCCGCAAUGGGCGAAAGCCUGACGGAGCAACGCCGCGUGAGUGAUGAAGGUCUUCAGAUCGUAAAACUCUGUUAUUAGGGAAGAACAUAUGUGUAAGUAACUGUGCACAUCUUGACGGUACCUAAUCAGAAAGCCACGGCUAACUACGUG
rnacentral:rRNA from 1 species